GGGUAUGACUUGCAUUUUUCUUCUGGUUCAUUUUGGUGACAGAGCUCACCAGACUUUCAGGAUUGGGAAAGCAUGACGUGUGCUUGUGACAAACAGCAGUGAUCCAGGCAGAAGGAAAGGGGACGGGCGGGCCACUGCGCUCACCAGAGUAACAGGGACACCAGGAGCCCUUUCUGUACUCUGGGCAAGCCCAGCCCACACUGCAUUCCAUAAGGAUCACUAAAAACAGGAUGAAGCUCUGAGACAUGGCUGGUAUACUAUAUUUCUCUCAGCAUAAAUGUGACUCUAUUGUGAAAAUGAAAAUUUUGUCUAAAUCAUUCCCUAACGCCUUCAGGUGUUCGCUUUACGGCAGCCCUGAUGGGCAGAGAGCUCGCUGCAUCUCUGGCUGUUGGCAUAUGGCAUCCAAGAGGACAAGGCAGCCCAGACAGCCCAUCAGAUUAACCAUGUAAUAGACCCAGAAGCUGCUUCAAAGCCGUGAAACAAAAUUGCUUAUGGAGUCUGCCAGCACGCCAGAUGCUGCUAUUGGAAGAAAUAUAUUCCAGUGCUUAGCAUCUGGGUCUCAUGGUUGCCAAAUAAAAAAGAGAAAAAGAAUUGGCAAUGCAUUGCUGAUGAGGUUGCUUUCGCAAAAUUAGAUUUUUUUAUAUUUUUUAAAAUGUCAGAUGCAUUAUGUUGUAGCAAAGGUUAAACGUAGGUAUGUCCAUGUCCAUGUAGAAGAGGUGCACUAUUAACCCACGGCCUCUGCUUGAUCCUCAGGCAGCUGGUUGGCUAUUAUCUAAAUAAAUCAAAAUACUGAGAAUCUUGAA